GGAGGGGGUGGGGGCUGAACAGAGGAACAGGCAGAGGGGUGUAGGGUAUCUCGAGCCCAGUGUGAACAGCUGAGAGGUGUGACUUCACAGGGCUGGCUCCCCCCUCCCUGUCAGGGCCCUGAUUGGGCCGGACAGGAGGCGCAGGAGAGGCCCGGGGCUCCCUAAAGGACACCAACAGGUGGGAAGUCGCAUUGGAGGGGGGCCGCUCCUGGUGGGUCUAGAAAAGGCCGGUCUGCAUGGCCUGCAGUGGGCACAAUCCACCGGGCCAAAUACUGAGGAGAGCUGAUGAUCACAAAGAGAGCUGGAACCAAGAGAUGAGUUGAAUGUAUAGAAGGAAAAGGGACGCUUCAGGAACAUCAGCUAAGGUAACGCCGAAGAGGACCUCCUGUUCCAUCUUUUCUUUCCCCUCUCUCCCUCUCUUAUUCUCUCUCUCUGUCUUUGACCCUCUUUCUGCCUCUCUCUCACUCUGCCUCUUGCAGCCGAAGCAACACGCCUUGCUGUGGCUGGUCAAACGGAACCAAGUCAGGUGUUUCAGUGAGGUUUGGUCCCCUUCAACCAGCUACUGCGUCGUGAAUUCUGUCGGCGGGAAACUGGAGACACGGUUCUGCUAGAUCUGGACGUGGUAGUCUGACAACAUGUAACAACAUUAUAUAUUACUGGCUACUCAAGGGUUGACUUUUUCUGCCGCUUGAUUUUGGUUAUUUAACUGUAGCUGUUUGUUCUUAAGAAACAAAUAAACGACCACUAACACUGUAGAACUUUGAUGUCUGCACCUUUGGAUAUAUUCUGUUCAUUUUCAAAUAAGCAAAUAUGUGAUUAUUCUUUUAUAGUUAUAGUGAUAGUUGUUUGAAAUAGAAAAUAUCCCUUAGAGCCAAUGCACUGAUAUCUGCUGUAAAUACCCUUGCAUUUCUAAGGCAGGAAGUCUUUAUUGUUCUAUAAAAGUUAACCAUUGCCACACAGAAGCUGUAAAUGUUUGUACAUGUUUAUACUUUAACACUAGCAGAACAAGAGAGAAAUCAGUACCAUGGAGAGCAACCAAUGAUGUUUGCUUAUAAUGUGUAUCGAGCCAAUCAGGCUGCGUGGUCUCUGUUGAAAUAAAUUGUCCAAACGUUGAGAAAUUCUGGUGGGUAAUUGUAAUUAAAAGCAAAACUUGAUUCUUGCAUCAUUA